rnacentral:rRNA from 1 species
GUUAACCCUGGGCCGGGGGCGGCGGGAAGACGGAGGUUGCUAGGGGUAAUCGUGAUGACUGUGCGUAAAGCGGGUGUAUGCGGUUCGUUAAGACGGGUGUGAAAUCCCCGGGCUCAACCUGGGAAUUGCAUUCGAGACUGGAGAGCUAGAGUACGGUAGAGGGCGGUGGAAUUCCGGGUGUAGCGGUGAAAUGCGUAGAUAUCCGGAGGAACACCGAUGGCGAAGGCAACCGCCUGGGCCUGUACUGACGCUGAGACACGAAAGCGUGGGGAGCAAACAGGAUUAGAUACCCCGGUAGUC